rnacentral:piRNA from 1 species
UGUGUUCCCAAAAUUGAGUACCGGCUGGUC